rnacentral:rRNA from 1 species
GAGUUUGAUCCUGGCUCAGGACGAACGCUGGCGGCGUGCUUAACACAUGCAAGUCGAGCGAGGACAUUUAGCAAUAGGUGUUCUAGCGGCGGACGGGUGAGUAACGCGUGAGCAAUCUGUCCCAGACAGGGGGAUAACAGAUGGAAACAUCUGCUAAUACCGCAUAAGACCACGGUUUCACAUGGGAUCGGGGUAAAAGGCGAAAGCCGGUUUGGGGUGAGCUCGCGUCCGAUUAGCUGGUUGGCGGGGUAACGGCCCACCAAGGCGACGAUCGGUAGCCGACCUGAGAGGGUGAUCGGCCACACUGGAACUGAGAGACGGUCCAGACUCCUACGGGAGGCAGCAGUGGGGAAUAUUGGGCAAUGGGGGAAACCCUGACCCAGCAACGCCGCGUGAGGGAAGAAGGUUUUCGGAUUGUAAACCUCUGUCCUUGGUGAAGAAAGAGAUGUCGGUAGCCAAGGAGGAAGCCCCGGCUAACUACGUGCCAGCAGCCGCGGUAAUACGUAGGGUGCGAGCGUUGUCCGGAAUGACUGGGCGUAAAGGGCGUGUAGGCGGCCGAUUAAGUCCGGAGUGAAAGUCCUGCUUUCAAGGUGGGAAUUGCUUUGGAAACUGGUUGGCUUGAGUGCGGAAGAGGUAAGUGGAAUUCCCAGUGUAGCGGUGAAAUGCGUAGAGAUUGGGAGGAACACCAGUGGCGAAGGCGACUUACUGGGCCGUAACUGACGCUGAGGCGCGAAAGCGUGGGGAGCGAACAGGAUUAGAUACCCUGGUAGUCCACGCGGUAAACGAUGAAUGCUAGGUGUAAGGGGUAUCGACCCCUCCUGUGCCGGAGUAAACACAAUAAGCAUUCCGCCUGGGGAGUACGGCCGCAAGGUUGAAACUCAAAAGAAAUGGACGGAUCUU